rnacentral:rRNA from 1 species
UACGGGGGGGGCAAGCGUUGUUCGGAAUUACUGGGCGUAAAGGGCUCGUAGGCGGCCAACUAAGUCGGAUGUGAAAUCCCCAGGCUUAACCUGGGAACUGCAUCCGAUACUGGUUGGCUUGAAUCCGGGAGAGGGAUGUGGAAUUCCAGGUGUAGCGGUGAAAUGCGUAGAUAUCUGGAGGAACACCGGUGGCGAAGGCGACAUCCUGGACCGGUAUUGACGCUGAGGCGCGAAAGCCAGGGGAGCAAACGGG